ensembl:snRNA U6 U6 spliceosomal RNA
UUUAUUACGAAUCAUAAGAGAAUCUAUUCAGAACAAUACAGAGGAUUACCAUGGCCCCUGCGCGAAGAUAACAUGCAAAUUCCUGACAGGUUCCAUAUUUUU